GCAUACAAUAACCUUGGAAGAAGACGUGUACAGAUACUCUCCAAGAUGCCAGAACCAACUGUUGCGAUGAUAACCACGCCAUUUUACCAGCAACAGCAGUAUGAAGUCUCCAGGUUCCUGAAGGUCAAGCCACUGGCUUUGGGGAUUUUGGAAAUAUUGAUAACCUUAUUGAAACUCUGUUUGAUAAUCUGGAAAAAGAAUUUUAUCCUUAUCUGGUCACCAGUCAUUUUCUUCAUAAUUGGAGCUUUAACAGUCGCAGCUGCACACACACGUAAACCGCGUCUGGUCAAAACCUCACAAAUGCUCAGCUUUGUGAAUUGUGCGGUAGUUACUUUCUCCCUCCGUGUUCCCUUCAUUUUCCGUUGGGUUACUUCAGAUGUGUUCUUCUACAUCCCUGUCAUCUGUGAUAUCCUGAUCUUCAUCUUAUCUCUUGUUGUUGCCGUAACCUCCUGUUCCUGUUGCUGCAGACCAAAGUCAAUCCCUGUCAUGGUCAGUUAUAUGACCACAGAUUUGCCUGUCAACCCCAUCAUGCCGAUGGGCCAGCCGGACGCCUAUGCAGUGGCCCCGGUCCCACUGGUGCCUCUGCCAAAUCACGGUCACGUCCCCAAUGCAUCUCCACCAAUGUAUAGUCCAGUACCAACUACACCUCCAUCCAACUACGAAAAAGUCUCAGAUGCACUUCCACCAAACUACAGUCCAGUCCCAAGUACCCCUCCACCAGCAUAUGAGCAUGAAGAUUUUCAGGCCAGAAGAUGAAUAAUAUCUUCGGAAUGUUUGACGUUUGCACAAUUUAUGGUGUUGGAAAACCAAAGAUUAUACUUUAGAAGUUUGUAAAUUGAAUGGAUGAGAAACAUGCCUCAGAGUCUUACGUUUUCAUUAUGUUUCAUUUGUUGUAUAUUUCCCCAAAUGACUGUUUUGUUUGAUUUGAUUUUAUAUAAUAAAUUGGCAGUUUUCUUAAUUUAUGUGCAUUUUCUACUUUUUAAUUCAACACAGUAAACGGCACACGAUUGAUUUACAGACAGACUUAACAUUUAAAAUCUUAUCUUAGUGUUCAAAGUGUACUUUAAAUUAAAUAAUAAUGUUGUAAUUUGCAUCACUCAAGCAAGUGGUUUGCACAAUCAAGUUAUAAAUUGACUAUUCAUUAAUUUUUAGAAUUAUGGUCUGAAGAUAGAAUGACAAUUUUAGAUUCUAAUUUGUGUUUGACCUGUGCUGUCACAAAAUACUAUUUCCAGCCCUUAACUUCUAGUACAGCAUAACCUGUUCAGAAAUAUUUCAGAAGACCUGAAAACAAAACACUGCAUAUUCACAUUAACACUUCAUCUCAGCAUGAAGAUGGGUUUAGAUGGCCAGAAAACUACUCUGUGGGUCUGAUUACCUGCUCUAUUAUUUAGUUCAGAUCACAGCUAAUAAAAUCAAUGAAAAACGUUAGAAUACUGUAAUUAAAUUAAUAAAGUAGAUGAAUAUCUGAUUUCAUAGGACAGCCUUUCAUGCUAAUUUAUUUCAAACAGUAUUCUCACAACUGUGUUAUAGUGUUUUAUGAAUGCAUUUGUGCAACUAGAUAUUUAGAUCUUCUCUCUCCUUUAAAUUAAUAAUCAAAGCCUAACAAAUUUAUGUUCUGUUAAGCUUAUUUCCACCACAGAGUAAAGAAUAAAAAAGCAUAUUAAGAGAUACAAAUACUUUUUUCUUACAAUUGUGAGAUUAUAUUUUGCAAUUUAGAUUUUUUUUUCUCAAAACUGCGAAUUUAUAUCAAUUGUGAGAAAUUUAUCUCAAUUCAGACUUCAUGACUCAGUUCUGACAAUAGUUUUUUUCAGAAUUGUGAGAUAAAAUGCAAUUAUGAGUUAUGAAGUUCAUACAGAUAUACAGGUUCUGGUCAUAUAAUUACAAUCAAACAGUUGAUUUAUUUCACUAAUUCCAUUCAAAAAGUGAAACUUGUAUAUUAUAUUCAUUCAUUACACACAGACUUAUAACUGACAACUAAGGAAAAACCCAAAUUAAGUAUCUCAGAAAAUUAGAAUAUUACUUAAAGCUGCAGUAGGUAACUUUUGUAAAAAUAUUUUUUUUUUUACAUAUUUGUUAAACCUGUCAUUAUGUCCUGACAGUAGAAUAUGAGACAGAUAAUCUGUGAAAAAAUCAAGUUCCUCUGGCUCCUCCCAGUGGUCCUAUUGUCAUUUGCAGAAAUACAUCGCUCCCGUAAGAAACAACCAAUCAGAGCUGCGGUCCGUAACAUUGUUUGUGUUCAAAAUGUAGAAAAAUGUAUAUAAUAAGCGAGUACACCAUGAAUCCAUUUUCCAAACCGUGUUUUUAGCUUGUCCUGAAUCAAUAGGGUGCACCUAUAAUAAGUGUUUAUAUUCUGACUAUUUUAGAUUGCUUCAGGGGUACCGCGGCGGAGUAACCCAGUACCUUCGUGAUUCUUCAUAGACAUAAACAGAGAGAAGUAGUUCCGGCUACGAUGUUCUUCUGCAAGACGCAAGCAGUUCUGUUUAUUAACCGCUAGAGCGUCAAAAGUUACCUACCGCAGCUUUAAGACCAGUUCAAAGAAAGGAUUUUUAGAAAUCUUGGCCAGCUGAAAAGUAUGAACAUGAAAAGUAUAAGCAUGUACAGCACUCAAUACUUAGUUGGGGCUCCUUUUGUCUGAAUUACUGCAUCAAUGCAGCGUGGCAUGGAGUCGAUCAGUCUGUGGCACUGCUCAGGUGUUAUGAGAGCCCAGGGUGCUCUGAUAGUGGCCUUCAGCUCUUCUGCAUUGUUGGGUCUGGCAUAUCACAUCUUCCUCUUCACAAUACCCCAUAGAUUUUCUUUGGGGUUAAGGUCAGGUGAGUUUGCUGGCCAAUUAAGAACAGGGAUACCAGUCCUCAAAACCAGGUACUGAAACCCAUGUCUUGUAUACGUCUGCGUGUAGUGGUUCUUGAAGCACUGACUCCAGCUGCAGUCCACUCUUUGUGAAUCUCCCCCACAUUUUUAAAUGGGUUUUGUUUCACGAUCCUCUCCAGGGUACGGUUAUCCCUAUUGCUUGUACACUUUUUUUCUACCACAUCUUUUCCUUUCCUUCACCUCUCUAUUAAUGUGCUUGGACACAGAGCUCUGUGAACAGCCAGCCUCUUUUGCAAUGACCUUUUGUGUCUUGCCCUCCUUGAGCAAGGUGUCAAUGGUCGUCUUUUGGGCAACUGUCAAGUCAGCAGUCUUCCCCAUGAUUGUGUAACCUACAGAACUAGACUGAGAGACCAUAUAAAGGCCUUUGCAGGUGUUUUGAGUUAAUUAGCUGAUUAGAGUGUGGCACCAGGUGUCUUCAAUAUUGAACCUUUUCACAAUAUUCUAAUUUUCUGAGAUACUGCAUUUGGGAUUUUCCUUAGUUGUCAGUUAUAAUCAUCAAAAUUAAAAGAAAUAAACAUUUGAAAUAUAUCAGUUCACUUUUUGAAUGGAAUUAUUGAAAUAAAUCAACUUUUUGAUGAUAUUAUAAUUAUAUGACCAGAACCUGUAGAAUUGUGGGAUAAAUAGUUGCAUUUACUUUUUUUUUUUUAUUCCAUGGGAGAAAUAAUAAUCUGCAAUUGGUGAUGAAUAAAAAAACAUGCAAAACAUGUUUAAACUGAGUUUCUCUUACACUGACUGGAGGGGAGGAGUCUUUUCAUAUUUAUUUUACAAAGAUGGACCUACUAGAUAACGUGAGAAUGAAAACAGCAAGAUUCAAGAGCAACACCAACAUCAGGUAAAGCAAUCUCUCGAUAUAAUAAUUCAUGUUCAGGUUUAUGAUCAGCUCCAUGGUUUCUAUAUAUAUAUUUGAACGCUACAUUCUCUUUAAAGAAAGAUUGUGUUGGGCCGGCAGAGGAUGGCUAGAGAUGAGUAAAACUUCUAUUCAACAUAUCUUUUCAUAGCGUCACAUGACAGAUUCUUUUAACAAUAGGCUUCUGUUUUAAAAUUUCCCAAGUUUCCUAUUGUUUUUUUUUAGUCAAAUAUAGUGGCUUGGAAACAGAUGGAUAACUGACUACAACAGUAGCUUGUACUACUAAAGUUUAGGUGUAAUUUUCUAGUCGUCUAUUUAUUUUGCAUACAUCUUAAGGUGGUAAAACGGGAUUUGUUACACGUGUGAAUAAAUAAAUGUAAUUUGCUAUAUCAAUCUAUAGACUACUCUUUAUAAACCAUAUAAACACACCUAUUUUGCCACUUUUCCCCGGACUAUAUUAGUAGCCUAUAUUCUGGUAAUGUUGACUGGAUGGACCAGCACCAGCCUGGUUUGACUAUGGGCACACUUGGCACAUUUUCCAAUAUGAAACAAAUUUAAACGUGAUUUAAUAAUUAACCCCGGCUGGGACAUAGUGUCCAAAGAUGAAGAAACACCCAGUUACAGUUACAUAAUCAAUUCAAUUGAAUUAACUCGUUUAAUGAACUGUUGUAUAAAAGCAAUGUCAUAUCUAUAUAUACAUACUUUAUAUGAGCCAGCCAGGCUGAUGUUCAGACCUGCAUUCUUUGGUCAUGUGUCGCUGGGUAAACCCAUGGGUUAUGAUUGUGAUUGACAGGAUAACGUUGCAGCCCUCUACAUUCUUUAACACCACAGGAAUGCUUUCUCUUUGUUGUUAAGCAGCUCUUCAGGUAAAUCCUGACUCCCUUCUUUGAGAAGGACAGAAUGAUCAGUGAAACAUUGUUUCUCCACACUCAGUAAGCUUUGGCUGACGAGAAAGACAAGACGUGCAAAGACAAGAUACUCUCUUUAUUUUCAAAGAUGCCAAAACCCGCUGAUGAGAUGCCAACCGUGCCAGUUCACCAGCGAGGGCAGUAUGACGUCUCCAGCUUCCUGAAGGUCAAGCCACUGGCUCUGGGG
ensembl:lncRNA